ACAACACUGCUAACCAGAAUAAAUCAAUGCUUCUUGCAGUUUUCACUUCCUAACAGGAUUAUUCAGAGCUGAGACCACAUCUUGGCCAAAUAUCCUACUUAUUCCUUGGGAGCCGGCGCUGGCCACAGAACUGCUUGAAGAAGUGCGCGCCCUUUUGCGCAGAACGAAUGCAAAAAGGACUUGUCAUAAAAGUGCAGCCAUGUAAUUUUCUAAAUGAAAGCAGAGGAGCAGCCAAAAAAGCUAAGAAAAUGUAUUAAAAUGCAGGCCACCGCAAAACAAACAACAGCACUAACAAAACAACAAAAAUUCUAAACAGAACGCAAUUUUCGCAAGUUGUAUUAAAAAAUUGUUGUAAAGGGGACAGAAAAAAUGCAAGAAGAAGGCGAAAAAAAAUAAAUAAAAUAGAAUGACAAA